UACGGAGGGAGCUAGCGUUGUUCGGAAUUACUGGGCGUAAAGCGCGCGUAGGCGGCUUUGUAAGUUAGAGGUGAAAGCCCGGGGCUCAACCCCGGAAUUGGCCUUUAAGCACGUGCAUCGCUUGAAUCCGGGAGAGGUGAGUGGAAUUCCGAGUGUAGAGGUGAAAUUCGUAGAUAUUCGGAAGAACACCAGUGGCGAAGGCGGCUCAGCUGGACCGGCACUUGACGGCUGAGGUGCGAAAGCGUGGGGAGCAAACAGG
rnacentral:rRNA from 1 species